rnacentral:lncRNA from 1 species
AGACGGCAAGGGAUGUGUAGCUUUUUCAAUCCUGGCCAUAACAUUCUUCUUCAUGCGCUUCUCAAUGUCCUUUCUCCUUUCAUUAGGUAAAAUGGAGAUGAUCCCCAGGGCCAUCUUGGAAGCAGUUUUUGAAGUUGGUAGAGUCUCGGGCCCGCUUAACUGCUGAAAGAGUAGGAAGGGGUCCGUUUCAUUAGCACGUUCAACCAAAAAGCGCUGUUAGGUUUCCUGCACCACAAGGUUCCUUUCACUUAAAAAAAAAUUUUUUUUAUAUUACACCAUCUUUAUUUGUACCUUCAGUAAGAACAGUUUCAGCAUCAACUAAUGAACAGUAGCCAAACCAGAGAGCAGUCAAAAGUGUUUUAAAGGGAGCAGCAUCAGCUGAUGUUCUGCCAAGUCUCUGGGUGUCCAGGACCAUGGUCCCCCGGCACUUCCAGGCCCCUGUGGGCUGCAGGUGGAUCCCCAGGAGCCAAAGGGCCUCUCAGGAAAGGGUGGAACUUGGCCUCGCAGUCAGCUGGCUUCUGCCUAUUAUGGUCAUCUUCUUUCCAGAGGUCUUGCUAUCUCAGUGGACAUG